GGGUUGUGAGGUUAAGCGACUAAGCGUACACGGUGGAUGCCCUGGCAGUCAGAGGCGAUGAAGGGCGUGCUAAUCUGCGAUAAGCGCCGGUAAGGUGAUAUGAACCGUUAUAACCGGCGAUACCCGAAUGGGGAAACCCAGUGUGAUUCGUCACACUAUCAUUAACUGAAUCCAUAGGUUAAUGAGGCGAACCGGGGGAACUGAAACAUCUAAGUACCCCGAGGAAAAGAAAUCAACCGAGAUUCCCCCAGUAGCGGCGAGCGAACGGGGAGGAGCCCAGAGCCUGAAUCAGCAUGUGUGUUAGUGGAAGCGUCUGGAAAGGCGCGCGAUACAGGGUGACAGCCCCGUACACAAAAGCGCAUGUGCUGUGAGCUCGAUGAGUAGGGCGGGACACGUGGUAUCCUGUCUGAAUAUGGGGGGACCAUCCUCCAAGGCUAAAUACUCCUGACUGACCGAUAGUGAACCAGUACCGUGAGGGAAAGGCGAAAAGAACCCCGGCGAGGGGAGUGAAAAAGAACCUGAAACCGUGUACGUACAAGCAGUGGGAGCACAGGUUUACCUGUGUGACUGCGUACCUUUUGUAUAAUGGGUCAGCGACUUAUAUUCUGUAGCAAGGUUAACCGUAUAGGGGAGCCGGAGGGAAACCGAGUCUUAAUUGGGCGUUAAGUUGCAGGGUAUAGACCCGAAACCCGGUGAUCUAGCCAUGGGCAGGUUGAAGGUUGGGUAACACUAACUGGAGGACCGAACCGACUAAUGUUGAAAAAUUAGCGGAUGACCUGUGGCUGGGGGUGAAAGGCCAAUCAAACCGGGAGAUAGCUGGUUCUCCCCGAAAGCUAUUUAGGUAGCGCCUCGUGAAUUCAUCUCCGGGGGUAGAGCACUGUUUCGGCUAGGGGGCCAUCCCGGCUUACCAACCCGAUGCAAACUGCGAAUACCGGAGAAUGUUAUCACGGGAGACACACGGCGGGUGCUAACGUCCGUCGUGAAGAGGGAAACAACCCAGACCGCCAGCUAAGGUCCCAAAGUCAUGGUUAAGUGGGAAACGAUGUGGGAAGGCCCAGACAGCCAGGAUGUUGGCUUAGAAGCAGCCAUCAUUUAAAGAAAGCGUAAUAGCUCACUGGUCGAGUCGGCCUGCGCGGAAGAUGUAACGGGGCUAAACCAUGCACCGAAGCUGCGGCAGCGAACGUAUCACCCAAGACAACUUUACGGAGUUGACGAUUGACGGAGCGAAGCGACGUCAAAGCGUUCAUUAAAGUCGAGUUGGCUUAGGGAUACGUUCGUUGGGUAGGGGAGCGUUCUGUAAGCCUGUGAAGGUGUGUCGUGAGGCA
rnacentral:rRNA from 1 species